UGAGAGUUGAAGUCCAUACAGGUGGCUCCGUAACUGAUAAUUGGAUAAAUUUCUUAUUUGGUGAGAGUUGAAGUCCAUACAGGUGGCUCCGUGACUGAUAAUUGGAUAAAUUCCUUAUUUGAUAUCCUAUUAUUGUCUUAGCAACCGUUUUAUUG